UAGGGAUCUGCCCUGUAGUGGGGGACAACCCGGGGAAACUCGGGCUAAUACCGCAUACUACUCUGAGGAGGAAAGCUGGGAGCAAUCCUGGCGCUAUGGGAGGAACCCGCGUCCGAUUAGCUAGCUGGUGAGGUAAAGGCUCACCAGGGCGAUGAUCGGUAGCUGGUCUGAGAGGAUGACCAGCCACACUGGGACUGAGACACGGCCCAGACUCCUACGGGAGCAG
rnacentral:rRNA from 1 species